rnacentral:rRNA from 1 species
UACGGAGGGAGCUAGCGUUGUUCGGAUUUACUGGGCGUAAAGCGCACGUAGGCGGAUUGUUAAGUCAGGGGUGAAAUCCCGGAGCUCAACUCCGGAACUGCCUUUGAUACUGGCAAUCUUGAGGCUGGAAGAGGUUGGUAGAAUUCCCAGUGUAGAGGUGAAAUUCGUAGAUAUUGGGAAGAAUACCAGUGGCGAAAGGCGGCCAACUGGUCCAGAAUCGUGACGCUGAGGUGCGAAAAGCGUGGGGAGCAAACAGGG